ensembl:lncRNA
GCUUUUUACCUGCUUAAAGUGCUGAACGCUUCACAAAACAGAUUUUGAGGUGGCAGAGAUUAUCUUGCAUUACACUAUGAGGAUUUCUGAUGGAGAAAAUAAAGUCUUGGAGUUUCACCACCUUCAUAAGGUUAUGGAAAGCUUGAAAAGACUCAGCCUGGGCUGUCUGACCAGCCAGAGCCCCUGGGACAACCACUUGCUGAAUAUAGGGACGCCUUAAAAUAUGGAGUGAAAGCAGGACAAUGCAGGAGGGAUAAAGAAUCCUCCCCAGUUCUGUAUCUCCAAUCCUCUUGGUGCACAAGGGAAUCAAAAACCAGUGUCCAUUCCCAGAAAAAUCCAGUGCAAAGGUGGGAUAACACUGAGGCUGACCACCAGCAGAUGAUAAGCAGAAAAAGAAGACUUGACAUACAGAAAAAGAAAUGCCCUUGGAAGUGAAAUUGGAGCUCCUGAGAGACACUAAGACUUCAUGAUCUUGAUCCACCGGGCUGGCUACCACCAAGUGCCUAUGAAGACAGUUUGAGAAUAAAUAAUGAAAUUUAUUACACUACCUUGUGCUAGUAAAAACAGACUGAUAACUUCUGCAUUUCUCCUCUGGCUGGGAAAUGCCUCACCCUUUUUCAGCACCUCCUCUUCUCUCUGCAGUCCUUAUCUGAAGGAAAUAAGGAGUGAUCUGUAUUGUGCCCAGGAAGGUCUUCUUUGCCUCUGCUACUUUCUGUUGGGUCCUUCCCAACACCUGUGAAGUCAUGAAGAGCAGAAUCUGGACCUGGCCUUGAUUUUUUGCCAGCUUUGUUCUGUUGUCUCCCACUCCAUCUCUCCUUCAGGAGAAAGAUAUGCUCAUGUUCCUGCCAUUUGGUUCUCCAUCAGGAAGGUGAGGACAAGUUUUCCUCUAUCCUACUGAGCCCACUGCCCUUGGAAGGAUCAUCCUUGUUCCACGUAGUGACAGUGAUAGAGGGAAAAGACUGAAGAGAACAUGAAUGGUAAAAAGCCUGUCCUGUCUCCAGCCUUAUCUCCUGCUGAUUCUUCCAAAAGAAUUUUGAACAGAGUUUCUCCAGAGGCAGAGGACUUGGUGGGAGUGCCACAAAUCUAUUCAUCUGUUAAUUUUGUGACUGCGAGAAGACUGAUGAACAAUGGCAAGAGGUCAAGAAGAUGGAAGGUCAUGCUGCUGAGACCUGGAACAGCUGCUUUUUGUGUGGGACACAGUGUGUGGGCCUUGCAGAGAUCUACAACAGACUUUGGAGAGAAAUGUGCUACCAAGCCAGCCAGCUUGUACUCCUUGGAUCCUAGGCCUGCUCUGUUGGAGGAGAGCAUUACUGAUGCAUUUCUAAGCUCUUCAUGCUGGGACCUGGCAAAGGAACACAGUGCAUAUAUAUCCAGAGACAAUCCUUCAGUGUGCUCCCUUUUCCACCCAACACUGGGAGCUUUCUCUGGAAAUGUUCUGUACUGCCAUCCCAGUGUGCUUCACAUUCUAUAAAUGCUUUCAUGGGGGAAAGGAAGGAUGUGUGCAAGGCUUUUUGUGGCAUCAAGGUGCUCAACUCAGAGGAGGGAUGAGCACUGCUGAUCUACUGACUUCAAGGUCCGUUAUAUUUUCUAAAGUUAUUCCUCCAGUACUUUGAGAGUGGUCUCCUUGUGUGGAGACUAAUCAAGUCAAAAUCUGCCUGUUCAAUUUCCACUCCUUAGUCCUGUUGCAAAGUCAGCUGCACAUGAAGCCUUGCCCUGGAGAAGACAACCCCCCCCCCCCCCCCUCAGGCUUUUUUGACACAGUUCUGCUGUGCAUCCCUUCCUCCCUUCUGUGCAUGCAGUAGCUAAUGAGCUGGUGGAGUGAUCAUCAUGUCCCUCAAAGCAGUACUGCAGAUCCCAUCUCUGGCCAUCAAACAAUAAAAGUGGGAAGACAGUGGGAUGCA